rnacentral:rRNA from 1 species
GAGUUUGAUUCUGGCUCAGAGUGAACGCUGGCGGCGUGCCUAAUACAUGCAAGUCGAACGGAGAUAUGAGGGCUUGCUCUUAUAUCUUAGUGGCGCACGGGUGAGUAAUGUAUAGCUAAUCUGCCCUACACUAGAGGACAACAGUUGGAAACGACUGCUAAUACUCUAUACUCCUUCUUUACAUAAGUUAAGUCGGGAAAGUUUUUCGGUGUAGGAUGAGGCUAUAUCGUAUCAGCUAGUUGGUGAGGUAAUGGCUUACCAAGGCUAUGACGCGUAACUGGUCUGAGAGGAUGAUCAGUCACACUGGAACUGAGACACGGUCCAGACUCCUACGGGAGGCAGCAGUAGGGAAUAUUGCUCAAUGGGGGAAACCCUGAAGCAGCAACGCCGCGUGGAGGAUGACACUUUUCGGAGCGUAAACUCCUUUU